UGGUGUCGUUGAGGUUCUAACCUGGACCCCUUAUCGGGGUCGGGGACCGUGCAUGGUAGGCAGUUUGACUGGGGCGGUCUCCUCCCAAAAGGUAACGGAGGAGCACGAAGGUUGGCUAGACACGGUCGGAAAUCGUGUUGAUAGUGCAAGGGCAUAAGCCAGCUUAACUGCGAGACCCACAAGUCGAGCAGAUGCGAAAGCAGGUCCUAGUGAUCCGGUGGUUCUGUAUGGAAGGGCCAUCGCUCAACGGAUAAAAGGUACUCUGGGGAUAACAGGCUGAUUCCGCCCAAGAGUUCACAUCGACGGCGGAGUUUGGCACCUCGAUGUCGGCUCAUCUCAUCCUGGGGCUGUAGCCGGUCCCAAGGGUAUGGCUGUUCGCCAUUUAAAGAGGUACGUGAGCUGGGUUCAAAACGUCGUGAGACAGUUUUGGUCCCCUAUCUGCCGUGGGCGCUGGAGAUUUGACGGGGGC
rnacentral:rRNA from 1 species